rnacentral:rRNA from 1 species
CCUACGGGGGGCAGCAGUCGAGAAUCAUUCACAAUGGGGGAAACCCUGAUGGUGCGACGCCGCGUGGGGGAAUGAAGGUCUUCGGAUUGUAAACCUCUGUCAUGUGGGAGCAAAUUAAAAAGAUAGUACCACAAGAGGAAGAGACGGCUAACUCUGUGCCAGCAGCCGCGGUAAUACAGAGGUCUCAAGCGUUGUUCGGAAUCACUGGGCGUAAAGCGUGCGUAGGCUGUUUCGUAAGUCGUGUGUGAAAGGUGCGGGCUCAACCCGCGGACGGCACAUGAUACUGCGAGACUAGAGUAAUGGAGGGGGAACCGGAAUUCUCGGUGUAGCAGUGAAAUGCGUAGAUAUCGAGAGGAACACUCGUGGCGAAGGCGGGUUCCUGGACAUUAACUGACGCUGAGGCACGAAGGCCAGGGGAGCGAAAGGGAUUAGAUACCCGUGUAGUC